AACGGUCUAUACCUGCGGUACCUGCGGAGGGAUCAUUAUCGAGUAUCGGGGUUCCCUGAGCCCCUACUCCCACACCGUGUGUACCUCACCUUUCGUUGCUUCGGCGGGCCGCGUCAGGCUCGACCGCGCGCGCUGGCCGCCCAUUUCGCGGCCGGAGAGCGCCCGCCGGAGGACCAACUUCAAACUCUUGUCAUACCGAGCAGUCUGAGUAACAUGUCAAUUGAAUUAAAACUUUCAACA
rnacentral:misc_RNA from 1 species